UAUAAUUCACCAUGUUUGGCUAGUCCUUUUCUUGCAGGAAAAGCUUUUAGACUUCUAUAAGUUGAGGAUCCUUCUUUCUCAUUAGUAGCAUCCACAAUGUAGUCAUACAAGAUUUGAGAGUUUUUUGUAGGGGGAGAACUUUUUGGGACAAGUGUUAGUGCGUCAAUUGUUUGCCUCUUUGUGAGAUUAUUUUCUCGAUAUUUUGUACUCUUUUUUAUAAUAAAUUGCUCAUCACCGCCCAUGAACGUAGGUCAAUUGACCGAACCAUAUUAAAUAUUUGUGUUUCUUUUGGUAGAUUUAUUUUUUGUUAUCUUAUGUAUCGUCAUUGAAGGUUUGCUUUGCUAGCUUCCGCAUGACACUUGAUUAUUUCGAUCCUAACAAGUGGUAUCGAAACAAGGUUCAAAACAGAUUCAUCUUGGCAAAUUUAGUUCUAGCAGCAACCUAUUUAACGAUAAUUAUAUUUUUUAUCUGAUAAAUUAACCGAAGUUCUAAUCAUCUUAAGACAAACUUUAUGGUAAAAGUUUGAAGAUGCGAUAU
rnacentral:lncRNA from 1 species